rnacentral:rRNA from 1 species
UGAGUAACCUGCCUCUGACUUUGGGAUAACCCUCGGAAACGGGGGCUAAUACCGGGUAUGACAUUCGACGGCAUCGUUGGGUGUGGAAAGCUUUUGCGGUCAGGGAUGGGCUCGCGGCCUAUCAGCUUGUUGGUGGGGUAAUGGCCCACCAAGGCGACGACGGGUAGCCGGCCUGAGAGGGCGACCGGCCACACGUGGGACUGAGACACGGCCCAGACCUCCGUACGGGAGGCA